UACGUAGGGUGCGAGCGUUGUCCGGAAUUAUUGGGCGUAAAGGGCUCGUAGGCGGUUUGUCACGUCAGGAGUGAAAACUCGGGGCUCAACCCCGAGCCUGCUUCUGAUACGGGCAGACUAGAGGUAUGCAGGGGAGAACGGAAUUCCUGGUGUAGCGGUGAAAUGCGCAGAUAUCAGGAGGAACACCGGUGGCGAAGGCAGGUCUCUGGGCCGAUACUGACGCUGAGGAGCGAAAGCGUGGGGAGCGAACAGG
rnacentral:rRNA from 1 species